GCCAGCCAUGGUGAUGCACGUUUAUAAUUCCAACUGUCAAGGAAGCUGAAGCUGGUGAUUGAGCUCAGGACUCUGAGGUUCAGUCCACAAAACCAACUAGGUGUCUGUACUAAAUCCAGAGUCAAUAUGGUUAGCUUCCAUGAGUGGAGGAAAGAGGUUACCUAUGGAGGAGUGAACUGGCCCAUGUUGGAAACAGUAGGCCAAAGCUCCUGUGCCAAUCAGUGGUGGGACUGAGCCCAUGAGAUGGGCAUUCAUAGCCCUGGACUUUCAGCCUGGACUAGAUAGGGAAAAUACAGAU
rnacentral:SRP_RNA from 1 species